GACCGAGAAGGUGGGCGGCGCUGCGAGCUCUCGUCCCGUGGAAGCCACAGGAGGACGAGGUCGAUGCGGUCGUUGGCGCGUCCUCCGCUGCGGGAGGCCAUGAGCGAGAUGAAGGAGGCAUCGUCAGCUGCGUGCCCGACCUCGCCACGGACGCCAGCGAGGCCAACUUCCUCUUCACCUCUGACCGGCAGGUUGCUGCCAUGGAACCAUGCUGACCUGAGCUAUGUGCCACCAUGGUAUCCUGCUCUUUUGUUUGUUUGUUCCAAUUGGUAUCGAUUCGAGUGUGUGAUGGAAUGGAGAUGAAAGAUCGUGACGACACUGCCGGUGCACCGCGUCCACAGGUCAGUGGUGCCGCCUCUGGUUUCUUCCCCAUCAAUCCCAGACAUCGCUUGUACGCUUGCAUAAGUAGUUUGCCGCUCUCGAUUCUCACUCUAACUCUCUUGUCAUCCGUUUCUCUUUUUUCCUAUGAGGUGAGGAGAUUAGGCACAGGCUUGUUGUUGCUUGGCUGUACGAAAUUGGAACCAAUGAUGAAAAGAGAAGCAUGUUUUCUGUCGGAUAUUCAAAAUGGAUCCCAGCAGCAUAUGGUCCUUCAUGUAAAAGAUAAUUUUGUGAAUGCCAAGAAGUAAAAAAAUAUUUGUAUGUUUGUGUCCUUUGGGACCCGUACAGACAAAUGGGAAGCUGCACCCAUUACCACAUAAAUGUAAAUUUUACAUGCCAAUCGAUUUGGGAAUCAGUUGUCCCAAUAAGAUGUGCUUCUACUCAUGUAGUUUACACUGAAUAAGAAGCUUCAGGUAACAUUGCUAUC